rnacentral:tRNA from 1 species
GACCGCGUAGCUCAGUUGGCAGAGCAUUGGGCUAGUAUUCCAAAGAUCGUAGGUUCGAAUCCCACCGUGGCCA